UAUUGGACAAUGGGGGGAACCCUGAUCCAGCAACGCCGCGUGAGUGUAGAAGUAUUUCGGUAUGUAAAGCUCUAUCAGCAGGGAAGAAAGAAAUGACGGUACCUGACUAAGAAGCUCCGGCUAACUACGUGCCAGCAGCCGCGGUAAUACGUAGGGGGCAAGCGUUAUCCGGAUUUACUGGGUGUAAAGGGAGCGUAGACGGCGAUGCAAGUCUGAAGUGAAAGGCUGGGGCCCAACCCCCGAACUGCUUUGGAAACUGUAUAGCUGGAGUGCAGGAGAGGUAAGUGGAAUUCCUAGUGUAGCGGUGAAAUGCGUAGAUAUUAGGAGGAACACCAGUGGCGAAGGCGGCUUACCGGACUGUAACUGACGUUGAGGCUCGAAAGCGUGGGGAGCA
rnacentral:rRNA from 1 species